rnacentral:rRNA from 1 species
AGUCGAACGAUGAAGCUGGAGCUUGCUCUGGUGGAUUAGUGGCGAACGGGUGAGUAACACGUGAGUAACCUGCCCUUGACUCUGGGAUAAGCGUUGGAAACGACGUCUAAUACCGGAUACGAGCUUCAGCCGCAUGGCUAGGAGCUGGAAAGAAUUUCGGUCAAGGAUGGACUCGCGGCCUAUCAGCUUGUUGGUGAGGUAAUGGCUCACCAAGGCGACGACGGGUAGCCGGCCUGAGAGGGUGACCGGCCACACUGGGACUGAGACACGGCCCAGACUCCUACGGGAGGCAGCAGUGGGGAAUAUUGCACAAUGGGCGAAAGCCUGAUGCAGCAACGCCGCGUGAGGGACGACGGCCUUCGGGUUGUAAACCUCUUUUAGCAGGGAAGAAGCGAAAGUGACGGUACCUGCAGAAAAAGCACCGGCUAACUACGUGCCAGCAGCCGCGGUAAUACGUAGGGUGCAAGCGUUGUCCGGAAUUAUUGGGCGUAAAGAGCUCGUAGGCGGUUUGUCGCGUCUGCUGUGAAAACGCGAGGCUCAACCUCGCGCCUGCAGUGGGUACGGGCAGACUAGAGUGCGGUAGGGGAGAUUGGAAUUCCUGGUGUAGCGGUGGAAUGCGCAGAUAUCAGGAGGAACAC